UCCGGUUUGGCACCGGCAGUCUCCUAUGAGUCCCCGACAUGACUCGCUGGCAACAUAGGACAGGGGUUGCGCUCGUUGCGCCACUUAAGGCAACACCUCACGGCACGAGCUGACGACAGCCAUGCACCACCUGUGCGGGCUCCGAAGAGCACCGUGUUUCCACGGUUUCACCCCGCAUGUCAAGCCCUGGUAAGGUUCUUCGCGUUGCGUCGAAUUGAACCACAUGCUCCGCCGCUUGUGCGGGCCCCCGUCAAUUCCUUUGAGUUUCAGUCUUGCGACCGUACUCCCCAGGCGGAGUGCUUAAUGCGUUAGCUUCGGCACUGAGGGUGGUACCCCCCAACACCUAGCACUCAUCGUUUACGGCGUGGACUAC
rnacentral:misc_RNA from 1 species